GACGGAGGGUGCAAGCGUUGUUCGGAAUUACUGGGCGUAAAGGGCGCGUAGGCGGUCUGUUAAGUUCGGUGUGAAAGCCCCCGGCUCACCUGGGGAACUGCGCCGGAAACCGACAGACUCGAGUACCGGAGAGGAGGGUGGAAUUCCUGGUGUAGCGGUGAAAUGCGUAGAUAUCAGGAGGAACACCGGUGGCGAAGGCGGCCCUCUGGACGGAUACUGACGCUGAGGCGCGAAAGCGUGGGGAGCAAACGGG
rnacentral:rRNA from 1 species